GAAAUCAGGCAAUACCAAAAACAGCACCAGCCACCAUGAGCACUCCCACAAUACUGGUCGCAACAGCAGUCCAUGCAUAUCGAUACACAAAUGGUCAAUAUGUAAAGCAGGGCAAAUUUGGUGCUGCAGUUCUGGGGAACCACACAGCCAGAGAGGUGAGAGUGCUCCCACAUCUCAUGUAUAUUCAGAUGUCCCAAAUAAUACCAGUGAGCUGGCUUUUAUCUGGCUUGCCCAAUGUCUUGUUUAUCAGAAGAUAAAGUUGAUUGUUUGUAUUGAAUGUUAAUUUAUAAUAUCAAGCAUAUAGUAAAUGAUCACAUUUUGCUUACUAUUGUGCAUUAAAACAAAUCCAACCAUUCAAAAUUGUUGAAUUUGACCUUUGUGAUAUGAUUCUAGCUUAAGAAUUUGGGCAUUUUUUUGUUUGUUUGUUGUUUAAUUGUGGGGUGCAUAUGUACACACACCUACACAAACACAUACAUAUGUAUGCACAUACAUAUGUAUAUAUAAGAUAAAUUUUGCCAUUUAACCAUUUUAAAGUGCAUAAUCCAGUGCCAUUAAUUGCAUUCACAGUAUUCACAGUAUUCAAUACCGUGAAUACUGCAUUCACAGUAUUGAUUGAGCAACCAUCACUACUAUCCAUUUCCCAAACAGAAAGUGUAACCAUUAAGCAAUAACUCUACUUCUUCCUUUUUUCC
rnacentral:sRNA from 1 species